UCCGGUGACGAUAGCAAGGAGGAACCACCUGUUCCCAUGCCGAACACAGAAGUUAAGCUCCUUAACGUCGAUGAUACUUGGUGGGUGACUGCCUGGGAAAGUAGAAAGUUGCCGGAA
rfam:Firmicutes bacterium CAG:41 genomic scaffold, scf103